rnacentral:rRNA from 1 species
CUGCGAAUACCGGAGAAUGUUAUCACGGGAGACACACGGCGGGUGCUAACGUCCGUCGUGAAGAGGGAAACAACCCAGACCGCCAGCUAAGGUCCCAAAGUCAUGGUUAAGUGGGAAACGAUGUGGGAAGGCCCAGACAGCCAGGAUGUUGGCUUAGAAGCAGCCAUCAUUUAAAGAAAGCGUAAUAGCUCACUGGUCGAGUCGGCCUGCGCGGAAGAUGUAACGGGGCUAAACCAUGCACCGAAGCUGCGGCAGCGACACUCAGGUGUUGUUGGGUAGGGGAGCGUUCUGUAAGCCUGUGAAGGUGGCCUGUGAGGGUUGCUGGAGGUAUCAGAAGUGCGAAUGCUGACAUAAGUAACGAUAAAGCGGGUGAAAAGCCCGCUCGCCGGAAGACCAAGGGUUCCUGUCCAACGUUAAUCGGGGCAGGGUGAGUCGACCCCUAAGGCGAGGCCGAAAGGCGUAGUCGAUGGGAAACAGGUUAAUAUUCCUGUACUUGGUGUUACUGCGAAGGGGGGACGGAGAAGGCUAUGUUGGCCGGGCGACGGUUGUCCCGGUUUAAGCGUGUAGGUGUGUGUUCCAGGUAAAUCCGGUUCACUUUAACACUGAGGCGUGAUGACGAGGCACUACGGUGCUGAAGCAACAAAUGCCCUGCUUCCAGGAAAAGCCUCUAAGCAUCAGGUAACAUCAAAUCGUACCCCAAACCGACACAGGUGGUCAGGUAGAGAAUACCAAGGCGCUUGAGAGAACUCGGGUGAAGG